UACGUAGGGUCCAAGCAUUAUCCGGAGUGACUGGGUGUAAAGAGUUGCGUAGGUGGUUUGUUAAGUAGCUAGUGAAAUCUGGUGGCUCAACCAUUCAGACUAUUAGCUAAACUGGCAGACUCGAGAGCGUUAGGGGUAGCUGGAAUUUCUAGUGUAGGAGUGAAAUCCGUAGAUAUUAGAAAGAACACCGAUAGCGCAGGCAGGCUACUGGGGCGUUUCUGACACUAAGGCACGAAAGCGUGGGGAGCAA
rnacentral:rRNA from 1 species